rnacentral:rRNA from 1 species
UACGGGGGGGGCAAGCGUUGUUCGGAAUUACUGGGCGUAAAGGGCUCGUAGGCGGCCAACUAAGUCGGAUGUGAAAUCCCCAGGCUUAACCUGGGAACUGCAUCCGAUACUGGAUGGCUUGAAUCCGGGAGAGGGAUGCAGAAUUCCAGGUGUAGCGGUGAAAUGCGUAGAUAUCUGGAGGAAUACCGGUGGCGAAGGCGGCAUCCUGGACCGGUUCUGACGCUGAGGCGCGAAAGCGUGGGUAGCAAACAGG